CUGCCGUAUACUGGGGGAUAACACUUAGAAAUAGGUGCUAAUACCGCAUAAGCGCACAGCUUCGCAUGAAGCAGUGUGAAAAACUCCGGUGGUAUACGAUGGAUCCGCGUCUGAUUAGCUUGUUGGCGGGGUAAAGGCCCACCAAGGCGACGAUCAGUAGCCGGCCUGAGAGGGUGAACGGCCACAUUGGGACUGAGACACGGCCCAAACUCCUACGGGAGGCAGCAGUGGGGAAUAUUGCACAAUGGGGGAAACCCUGAUGCAGCGACGCCGCGUGAGCGAAGAAGUAUUCCGGUACGUAAAGCUCUAUCAGCAGGGAAGAAAAUGACGGUACCUGACUAAGAAGCCCCGGCUAACUACGUGCCAGCAGCCGCGGUAAUACGUAGGGGGCAAGCGUUAUCCGGAUUUACUGGGUGUAAAGGGAGCGUAGACGGCAGCGCAAGUCUGGAGUGAAAUCCCAUGGCUUAACCAUGGAACUGCUUUGGAAACUGUGUAGCUGGAGUGCAGGAGAGGUAAGCGGAAUUCCUAGUGUAGCGGUGAAAUGCGUAGAUAUUAGGAGGAACACCAGUGGCGAAGGCGGCUUACUGGACUGUAACUGACGUUGAGGCUCGAAAGCGUGGGGAGCAAACAGGAUUAGAUACCCUGGUAGUCCACGCUGUAAAC
rnacentral:rRNA from 1 species